rnacentral:tRNA from 1 species
UAGCUCAGUUGGUAGAGAAUCUGCCUGCAGUGUAGGAGACCCAGGUUCAAUCCCUGG